rnacentral:piRNA from 1 species
UGGGCUCGAUAACCAUUGGUUGAGUGCUCC